GUGGUCGUCGUCCAACGGCGAGGAUGCGAGCACGCCAUGCUUGUGAUGCGGGUUCGACUCCCGCCGACCACACCA
rnacentral:tRNA from 1 species